UAUGGCCAUAUCACGUUGAAACACCGGUUCUCGUACGAUCACUGGAGUUAUGCAACGCCGCGCCUGCUCAGUACCUAGAUGUGUGACCGUUUGGGGAUUCCAGAUGCUGUAA